AUGCCCAAAAGGGUUACAGCGCUUCCCCGCCGCCGUUUCAGCCCAGCUGCCCCAUCCCAAAUCAGUCUCUCCUCGGUCUCUCUCCUCCGUGCGCCGCCACCCCCGCCGCCACGGCGCCUGCCGGUGAACCCCUCCGUUGGCGACCAUCGCGCUCGCCACCGCCCUCCCCACCGCUCGGCUCCUCCUGCGCGGGCGCAUGGCCUCCUCCGCCUCCGUUGCGGUCCUCACCGCACCCCCCUUUCCCACUUGCCCCUCCUCCGACGACUCUGACGACGCCAAGCCCCUCCCGCCUCCACCCACGUCGGGAGAAACCCGCCCUCCUCCGCAGCAUCAGCAGAGGCCGCGGUGGUGGCAGCUGGAGCGCGACUGCAACGUGGCCAUGAAGGCCCUGGCGCGUGCGGGCGAAGUCGACCAGGUGCUCGCCCUCUUCACCGAGCUCAGGGCUUCCAGAACCGGCCCGGGUGGUGCCUCGCCGCCCAGUGUGCUCUGCUACAACACUCUCGUCAACGCGCUCGCAGAAGCUGGCCGCGUGGAGGAGGCCCACAACGCGUUCGACGAAAUGCUUGCAACAGGGGUGGCGCCCAAUGCAUCGUCCCUCAACAUCCUUGUCAAGCUGCAUUCGUGGAGAUCUGCGCGGUUUGACCUCGCGUACCAGGUGAUCAUCCGGUUACAAGAGCUCGGGGUGGAAGCUGACGUGGGCACCUACUCCACGCUUGUCACGGGGCUGUGCCGUGUGGGGAGAGUGAGCGAGGCAUGGGGCGUGCUCGAGUGGAUGCUGGAAGUGGGGUGCCGUCCCAUGGUGCAAACUUACACGCCCAUUGUGCAGGGGUAUUGCCGUGAAGGUCGUGUCGACGAGGCCAAGGAGCUGAUGUCCACGAUGGAAAGUGCUGGUUGUCCUCCCAAUGUAGUCACCUACAAUGUUCUGAUCAGGGCUUUGUGUGAUGCUGCCAGAUUUGACGAAGUCAGGCAGGUUUUAAUGGAUAGUAGAACCAAGGAUUGGAAACCAAGUACUGUCACCUACAACACAUUUAUGAAUGGUCUCUGCAAGAAAGGUAUGGCUAAGGAAGCACUUGAGCAGUUGGAUGUUAUGCUAGGCGAAGGGCUGGAUCCCACAGAUUUCACUUUGAGUAUUCUUCUGAAUUGCCUUAGCCAUGACAAGAGGAUUCAUGAUGCCGUAUGCUUGCUGGAGAGGAACACAUCAUUGAAAUGCUAUGCUGGUGUUGUUGCAUACAACACUGUGAUGAGCAGGUUAGGUGAAAUGGGACAUUGGAUGGGUGUUCUAAAGUUGUUGACAGACAUGAUCAAGAGAGGUGUCAUGCCAAACACGAGGACGUUCAACAUUGUCAUUCGUAGUCUUUGCUUUCGCCGAAAGUUCUCCAUAGCCAAGAGCCUCGCAAGUAACCAAGGUUUUGCUGCAAAUGUCGUGACAUACAAUACACUCAUUUAUUUUGUUUUUUACUACAGUCGAAAGCUCAUUGAGGUGAAGGACCUAAUAUUUGACAUGACAGCAGUGAGGAUUGCUCCAGAUGAAGUUACCUACACUAUAAUCGUUGAUGGAUUAUGCAGAGAUGGAUUUUUUGAUACAGCCACUAGUUACUUUCUAGAAUCGCUUGAGAUUGGACUGUCAAGGGAUCUUUUUGCUGUCCUUACAAACAGGCUUGCUCACAAUGGCAAGAUCUGGGAGACUAUUCACAUAUUCAAGGGAAUGGAAGAAAAAGGUUUUAUCCCUGAUAAUUCUAUAUUUGACCUCACAAUCAGAAUAUUCUGUAGGGCUGGUUAUUGUCACGACACAGAUAUGUUUAAGCUUAACUUUGUUCUAGAUACGAUGUUGGGCAAGCAGUGAACUGAACCCUUGUGUAUCUAGGAAAGCCGACAAUAAUUGAAGACAUGAAUGAAGAGUCGACAUUACUAAAGAUACUGACACAUGUUGUGUCUGGCUUUUAUAACACUCUGUACAUGGUACAAAGAUGGCCACAUGCCUGUUCAUGUUAACAUAUUCCACACUGCCACUCGACAGAUGAAGUCUAACUGCUUUGUAAUCAGCAACAUGCUGCACAGGUGGGAUUCGAAUGUAACUCAAACACGUGCUUUUACUGCACCUGUCUUUUGUGAGUGUAAUCUUGCUGGGUGUCUGGGUCUUUCCGGUAAUUUGUGUAGCAGACACAUGACUCUUAAUAGGACUCAGAUGACCAUGAAGUUUUGAAAUCAAUAUAUUUUUCAUCUUUAUUAUCUUGUUUGAAGGAUUCUUGUUAUCUGGUUCAGAUGAAAUUUGAUUAGCGAGGUGCUGGGAUUGCUAUGUGUAUUCUUCUCUAUCUACAAUAGGUAGAGUGCAUAUAGCAUCAGGUGUUGGGGUUACUCUACAUGGAGCUCUUUAUAGAAGACAGAGAAAAGUGGCAGGGUAUAGCAGCAAAGGCCAGCAAUCUCCGUCUCACCCUUCCGGACGCUCUAGCACACAUUUACUCCUGCGAGCUAGGGUUUGGUUAGGCAGUGGGCCUUGACCAGUAAAGCCGUGACCGACCUUGACCUAUCCAGUUCACAAACAAGGAUUCAUGUUCAUGGGGGCGCUUACUCAGAGGGUUGUGCGUGCUUCUAUCAAUGCAUCAAGUCGCAAAGCUUCUGCAUUUCCUCUCUGAAGGACCAAAACAGUGUCUUGGUAGCUUACUUGAGCUAUAUGAAGCGAUGCCAUUUUUGUUGUGUUUUGAAUGAUUUCUAAUAUUGUUUUUACUUGUCGGUAUCAGCGUAGUCAACCUUCCAGACAUGCAAGUAUUGCGGCGAGGUUCUGUUUUAAAUGAUUGCCAUGGCAGGUUAAUCUUUUCCGUUUCCUAACAUGCCUCGUCCACUUGGAUGUAUGCCUUCCUUUUGCCGAAUUGUAUGUAGACUUGCAGGAAUGAAUAUAUUAUGGCAUGAGCAAUGUUGAUUA